GACACGUGGGUGCCUGUUUGUGAUAUUUGACUUAAAUGAGAUUCUUAAGUGUAGACUUGCUCUUUGAAGGGAUGUGGGGCCAAUACUGGAAUCUGUAUUUUCCCAGCAUGGGCACUGCUUCACCCUUCCUUUCUGAAUGUGUCCUUUUUUCCUGCAGGGAAUUUGGAUGGUGCUGACUAGCCAUGCUAGCCUUGGGCCUACAAGACACAUCCCCAUCUUCUCAGGGCUACCAUCUCAGCAAUCCCCUUGCUCCCUUUGCAAGAGGACAUGCCAGGACCCUCACCCUCUGCAGCCUGGUGGAAGUAAGAGGAAAGGUUUCUGCAUUUCCAGGGUAUGGCUCCAACAGGUCUUUCCCUUCAGGACCUCAGACACUUCUGUCUGCGCUGGACCUGCAUGGUCAACUAGGUGAGUAACACUCUCUCCACGGGCACCCCAGAGCCUGCUGGUGGCCCAGAACAGCACCGCAUCCCUUGAGAAGCUGCCUCCGGUCUGGUUCUUCAUGUUUGAAGUCACUGUGCUUGGACAAGGGAAAAGCUUUUUCUUUUUCUUUUUUUUUUCUUGGGACAGAGUCUCACUCUGUCGCCAGACUUGAGUGCAGUCGGCGCCAUCUCAGUUCACUGCACCCUCCCCCUCCCAGGUGCAAGCAAUUCUCCUGCUUCAGCCUCUCAAGUAGCUGGGAUUACAGGUGCCCACCACCAUGCCUGGCUAAUUUUUGUAUUUUUAGUAGAGACGGGUUUUCACCAUAUUGGCCAGUUGGUCUCAAACUCCUGACCUCAUUAUCUGCCUGCUACGGCCUCCCAAAGUGCUAGGAUUACCAGCGUGGGCCACUGCGCCCAGCCCAGGAAGAGCUUUUUCUCUGGGGGAAGGACACUGCUUGGUGUUACCUCAUCACGUCAGAGAAAACAGCAAGGAGGGAGGACUCACUGCCCACGAUCCAGGAGAAAGCCACUGUUGGUAGUGAGUGCCUGGAGAAGAGGCUGUUCCUGAGUCCAGAGUGGAUUCCACAACUCAGAGGGCAAACACCUGGAAAUAGCACUGCUGGGUCCUAUGCAAGUGCUGCUCACAUGCCAAGCAGAAUUGUAAACUUGGACACAAAGACCUUCCUAAAGUCACAUAUCUAGCUGUUGUGUCAGAGCUGAUGUUAAAAAAGAAGAAACAGAGGAUGUGGCCAUCUCUUAGAUCUCACCGAUCCCAUGGCUGUUGUCAAGGCUGUUGGUUAGACAUUUGCCAAAAUGUGGGAAAUACAAAAAUAAGGAAGAAAUGUGACACAUUUAGAAAUCUUGUCAUUUUACCAGGGUCCACAAGAGCCUUAGACUAAUAUUUAAAAUGUGAGGAAAGACGCUGAUGUUGAGGGCAGAAGGUGAAAUCCUUCUUCAUCGUCUGUGAAAUAUGGUUACAGAGCAGGAAAGAUGAACAGUGCCUCGUAAGUAUUAUCACCCCAUGAUGUAACUCUGAUAAAACACUUGUUUUCCUGAACUCUAAGUACUUGGCUCAGAGUGUUUUAAAUCUUCAGAGCUAAGAGCUUCAUAAAGGUGAAUGAAUAUUGCCUUGUGUUUGGGCGGUGCCAUAAUUUUAAGUUAAGAUCAUACAAUUCACAUGACAGAAGCUUCUGGAAAGAAAGUUCCUAGCUUUGAUUAAACUGGCUGGAUCAUGAGGUCUCUGUUAUGCUCAUAGCAGUUGGCCGUGGUAGAAUGAAAAACCAUUGCGUUUAUGACCUGAGAACUCUUUCAGCUAAAUGGAAAUGAUGAUAUUAGUGUAGCGACACAAUUAUGCUAUUUGGUUCUGGGAGCAAAUAUGGAAUUGGUCCCUAAUGUGUUUUAAUUGCUUAUGCAACUUUAUGGAAUUUUAAAGUCUGUAAUAGUUAUACACAUUUCUUCCUGCGCAGAUGGGCCUUUUUACCCCUUCCCUGGUUAUCUGACUACUGUCUGAGGCACAGUUUCAUUAGUCUAUUCUGAAUUCUUUGUCCUUUUGAUAAUUUGAAGUCUUCUUUUCUGAAGGAUAGUGAUAAAAGUUCCAGAUGCCAAGAGAACAAAUAGCAAGUACCAUGUAGUAUACAUGUACUAUAUGCCAGGCUUUAUUCUAGACCCAACAAGAAAUUAACAAAUACAUUUGCUAGCACCUAUCGAACACUUGCACUGUGCUAAACACUGUUCUAAGUGCUUUACAUAAUAACAUCAUCCACUUAAUCCUUGACGAAAGCCCUCUGAGGCAGGAACUACUAUUAGACCCAUUUGCAGACCAAGAGGACAGUGAAAUGCCGAAAUGCCUAAAAAUAACUCAGCUAGUGAUGGAAAAAAGGAAUGAAUCCAGGCAGUCUGUUCUAGAGAUUGUGAUCUUAGCCACAAUGACCUACUUCUCAGAUAAAUGAAAGCUCUCACACAAAGCAUUCUCUUGGCCCCAUCCCUGGGCAAGUGCCUGCGCUGGCAUGUCAUUGUGUAUGAAACCAGGUGUGCGCUACAGUGCCCGACGGCAUGGAGUGUGCAGUCAUUCAUCCCACAAAUCAUUGUUUAGCCUUAUACCUCUCUGGGGAAAUUAAAUAUACACUCAGCUGCUGAAAAAAACUAAUUAAAGAGCACUACAACUGUGUGUUAUGGGAGACAGAAGGAGAUAAGAUGGCUUCUCAUGGUUUUGGGGGUACAAGAAAGACCACAUGUGGUAGAUGGGAGUUGAGAAGAGCUAUAGAAUGUAUUAGACCAGAAUACUCUGAGGAGGGGAGGGAGGCAAUUUCUACGUAAAGUGAACAAUAAUCAUAAGCCAGCCACUUGGAUACUCUGGGUCUUGGUUUCUUUUUAUGAAAAUCACAGGCAAAUGGGAAAAUUAAAUGUGAUGACCUCUAAGAUCAGCUGCAUCUUUGAAAUUCCGUGAUUCUCUCGACCUAAGCCAUGCGGGUAUUAACAACUGUGACAGUAUACUCAAGAAUUCAACAAGCAAUUUAUUUCAUUGUAUGCUAGCUAUAUUAACCCUGGAAAGUCAUCUGCCAGCGCUCAUUUGCUAGAAGGAGUGGGCUCUCAGACGUUCCCUUUGCAUGAAUCCCUUCCCUGAGUCUAACUAAUUUACUUUCCCUCACAUCCACAAGACAUUUUCCAAAUUACGGAAUCCUCUUGCCUGGGCAAAUAGUUUAAUGUCUUAAGAUGUCUAUUAAACAUUCCACAUAUUAGAUCAUCAGGUGAUUAAUUAAUAAAUGGACACUUAAAAACAUUUAGUCUUCUUAACAACCCUUGCCUAUCUGUUAGUGAUCAAAAACUGUGUUAAUAACAGGGAGUAGAGCUGUGAACAAAUUAGUCUCACAUCCUCGUGUCUUGGCUUUUGCGUCUAGGGUUUUAACAUUACUCUAGAAUCAGAAUGCAGCUGUCCAUCUGGGUUUCCUACUUACAGGCUGUGUGACCUGGACAAGUCAGUCAGUUUCUCUGUGAGUCAGUUUCCUCAUGAAAUGGAGGACAUUUCGAGUACUAACCUUAUAGAAUUGCUCAGAGGAGUAAUAAGUAAUUUGGAAGGUUAUUUAUAAAGAGCUUGGGGAAAUACCUAACACAAGGGGUUUUAAGAAGGCUUUGCUAAGUAAAUAGAUUAUUUAAGUCCAUUGACUGUCACGUUUUCUCUAUAUAUUGACACACCGUAAGUUAACUGUUAUUUUAAAUAUCACUAAAGUUUGCUCUUUAACUCAAUCUAUAAUUUUUGCAGUGGUAGGACUGCUUGUUGAAUCAACUAGUGAAUUGCUUUUCCAGAAAAAGAGUAAAGUCAUAACGGGUGUAGAUACUAGAUACGGAGCUCUGCCAUGUCCAACAUUUUCCUCUUUCAUCCACACUUCCACCUUCAAGCCAAGAACCAUCAUUUCUUUUUUUUUUUGAGACGGAGUUUCACUCUUGUUACCCAGGCUGGAGUGCAAUGGCGCGAUCUCGGCUCACUGCAACUUCCACCUCCUGGGUUCAGGCAAUUCUCCUGCCUCAGCCUCCCGAGUAGCUGGGAUUACAGGCACGUGCUACCAUGCCCAGCUAAUUUUUUGUAUUUUUAGUAGAGACGGGGUUUCACCAUGUUGACCAGGAUGGUCUUGAUCUCUUGACCUCGUGAUCCACCUGCCUCGGCCUCCCAAAGUGCUGGGAUUACAGGCUUGAGCCACCGCGCCUGGCCUAGAACCAUCAUUUCUUAGAUGAUUUACUUCCAUCACUAGUGCUGUUUUGUUUUCUGGUAUUAUUUUCCUCAAGUAAACAACAUUUUUAAAAAAUCACCUCAUGAGAGCUGCUGCCUGAGAAAUGGCCUGUAGGGAAGAAGAGUUUUAUGGGCAUAAGAAUUUCAGUUUUAGGAAUAAGAAUCUAAGCCUCAGCAUGUCAAAGCCUGAGUUGGGAUUGGGCAGGUUUCCAGGCGAAGGAAAUAGUUCGUGCAAGGCCUUGGAAAUAAGAGACAGCACGAACAUAGUACUACCCAUCAUGGGAAGAAAGGGGCAUGUGUGGGCCGAGGGAAGGAGGCACACGACCGGAGAGAUGGCCAGAUCGUUGAGAAGUCUGCAAAGAUUUGCCUUUGAUGUGAAGGCAGUGGAGGACCAGUGAGGGAUUUUAAAGGGAUUAUGUAGCACGGAAUUUAACGUUGCCUCAACAUAGGCCUAGCCUCAGCUUCCAGGAGGUCAUCUCUAAGUCCUUGGAACUCCAUGAGGGCUGGAAGUGUCUCUGUUUGCCUGGGAGCCUCAGGGCGAGCCAGAGAGCACAAUGUAAUGUAGGCUGGGAGCUUUGAGUCACAUAUUAUCAGUCGGCCUCCAGGGAGGUAGAGACUGAGAUCAGCUACAUGGACAACCACUCCUGCUUACAGGAGGGAGCUCCAGUAAAAUCUCUGGACACCGAGACACGGGUGAGUGUCCCUAACCGGCAAUACUUUUUGCGUAAUAUCACACACUGUGCAUGUCCACAAGUCCACAGGGCAAGGACACCAGAAAUUCCACACUCGAAGGGACUUUUCCUUCACUCUGCUCAAGAUCCUCUUUCCUUGGCUGAUUUUACUUUGUACCCUUGAUCUUAUGUAAUAAACGAU